rnacentral:lncRNA from 1 species
GUUAUGAUUUCACAAUGUGUUAUUUACUCAAGGGCAGUUCAGAUAGAAUCGUGUUUUGAUGUGAGCAGGUACCAUUGUUUGAAUGUUUUUAAAUNUGACACUGAACCUAGCCUGUGCUACAUUUCAAAAUUUUCAAAACGAGAGGAUAAGUCAUAUAUUUUGUGUAUAGCUUUAAUCUUAAGUUAGUUCCAUUGUACAAUCGCCAUUAUCUACGUAAAAUAUUGUAUAUCAAAACGCCGGGUUGCCUGGCUUCUGUUCCUCUUCCCAUAUCCCAAUUACCCAGUCAUACAGUAGAAGAUCGUGGAUUUUAUUUUGAAACUAAAAAGUAUUAGAAAUCAUAUUGAGCUGCUCCCAAAUUUGAAACCCUUGAAAUUGGGUAACUAAAAAUCAUCAGCUUAAAGUUUAGAAGGGCAUAUGUUCAGUACUCCAGGAUUGCUUAAGCAAUUUCAUUGCUCUAGUGCUUAAUUACUAUCAAAGUUGGUAUAUAUAGAGGCAACACUGGUUGUUUAAUCUUGAUAACGUGGAUUAGUUUGACAAUAUAGUGAACAGUAUUUAAGAUUUAAAAUAAGAAUAUCAAACUUGUUUGUUUUUCUACGGUUACAUUUGAUCUGUAUGAACCAGAACUCAGUAUAGAUACCCGUAUCUGGCCCUUUGGGUGAUUGAUGUAUCAAUGAGUUAGUUGAUGGUUAAAGAAAAGCCAGUCUCUUUUGGAUGUACAAAGAGAAUUCAUUUGACAUUUAGUUUGCAAUACGAAAAUGUGCUAUAUUUGUAUGAAUAAACUCUGAUGACUUUUGUAUUUGCAUUUUUUAGUCAUUGUCGAUAGAUUGUUAUGUAUCUUUGUUCUGAUUCAAGAAUUACCCAGUGAUACAGUAGAAGAUCGUGAAUUUUAUUUUGGAAUUAAAAAGUAUUAGAAAUCAUUUUGAGCUGCUACCAAAUUUGAAACCCUUCAAAUUGGGUAACUAAAAAUCAUCAGCUUAAAGUUUAGAAGGGUAUAUAUGUUCAGUACUCCUGGAUUGCUUAAGCAAUUUCAUUGCUUUAGUGCUUAAUUACUAUCAAAGUUGGUAUAUAUAUAGGCAACACUGGUUGUUUAAUCUUGAUAUCGUGGAUUAAUUUGACAAUACAGUGAACAGUAUUUAAGAUUUAAAAUAAGAAUCUCAAACUUGUUUCUUUUUCUACGGUUACAUUUGAUCUGUAUGAACCAGAACUCAGUAUAGAUACCCGUAUCUGGCCCUUUGGGUGAUUGAUGUAUCAACGAGUUAGUUGAUGGUUAAAGAAAAGUCAGUCUCUUUUGGAUGUACAAANAGAAUUCAUUUGACAUUUAGUUUGCAAUAGGAAAAUGUGCUAUAUUUGUAUGAAUAAACUCUGAUGACUUUUGUAUUUGCAUUUUUUAGUCAUUGNNNNN